GCGUGUGUGUGUGUGUUAAGGAUAGUGAGUUUUUUUUCUUAAUAUUUUUUUACAUUUAUUAGUAUUUUUUAUGCAAUCUUCCUUCUUUUUUUAUAUAUUUACUCUUUUCCCUCAAGCUGCUUCCUUUAGGCCUACUGAGUGGUAGAUUUCAGGCUUCUUGUACCUCACACAAUUUAUGCAUUUCCUCUCAGCCAUGGCGCACUCCUGUGAUUUAUGAUACCCAGCGCAUUUGAAGCAUUUUUUGGCUUCUGUUGCUCUUAGCAGUACAGUUGGUCUCAAGAUGGCCAUAUCUCUGACAAUGAUAGCAUAUAAUUCCAUGGUGUCUGUCUCUCGCUGUGUAUAUUCCUCAUUCUAAUUUUAACUUGUCAUGGUUCCUGUAAAUCAUCUCUCACCGUUGGGUCACACCUCAAAAUGUAGUGCAUUGUGCCGCCAGCUGCAGGCUUACUAAAAAUCCGCUCAAUCUUAUUCUCCGCUCCCUGAAUUGUGUGUGAGAACUCAUUGCGGUCCAAGAUGGUCUCCUUCAUUUUUUCCUUGGUCUCCUCUCCUCUUCGAACCAAGCAGAAACACUUCACAUCGGAUCAAGUUCAUCGACCAGCGACCUUUUGUGGGGCCGGCAGUUCAUGCUGCUGUUUAGGGUUAUCACAACAGCACCAUGAACUGUCGGCCAAAUGAGGGUGUCGCUAUGCUGCCCUGCCAUGCCCUCGGUGACGUCAGACUGCCCACCACGGACUGCAAGGGUUGUAUUCUUAAACAUAUAUUUGACAAGGCUUUUGUAGGAGUGUGGGGGGCAUUUCCAGGGGUAGUUUUAUGACCCUGGUAGUGGUAGUUUGACCCUUCAUCUGUACCGUGAACCUAGGAAACACUCAUUUGACAAGGCUUUCAUAGGAGGAGUUUGGGGUAGUUUGACCCUUUUUCUGUACCAUGAACCUAAGAAACACACAUUUGGCAAGGCUUUCAUAGGAGUUGUGGGGAGCAUUUUCAAGGGUAGUUUUAUGACCCUGGUGGUAUUCUCCAAACCAAGCAGCACUUCACACCAGGUCAAAUUCUCACGACAUCAGGUCAAGUCCGUCCAAGCAGCGACCUUUUGUGGGGCCGGCAGUUCAUGCUGCUGUUUAGGGUUAUCACAACAGCAGCAUGAACUGACGGCCAAAUGAGGGUGUCGCUAUGCUGCCCUGCCAUGCCCUCGGUGACGUCAGCCUGCCCACCACGGACUGCAAGAGUUGUGAUCUUAAACAUAUAUUUGACAGGGCUUUCGUAGGAGUGUGGGGGGCAUUUUCAAGGGUAGUUUUAUGACCCUGGUAGUGGUAGUGUGACCCUUCCUCUGUACCAUGAACCUAAGAAACAUAUUUGGCAAGGCUUUCAUAGGAGUUGUAGGGAGCAUUUCCAGGGGUAGUUUUAUGACCCUGGUGGUGGUAGUGUGACCCUUCCUCUGUACCGUGAUCCUAAGAAACAUAUUUGGCAAGGCUUUCAUAGGAGUUGUAGGGAGCAUUUCCAGGUAUAGUUUUAUGACCCUGGUGGUGGUAGUGUGACCCUUCCUCUGUAUCAUGAACCUAAGAAACAUAUUUGGCAAGGCUUUCAUAGGAGUUUAGGGCAUUUCCAGGGGUAGUUUUAUGACCCUGGUGAUGGUGUGACCCUUCCUCUGUACCAUGGACCUAAGAAACAUAUAUCUGACAAGGCUUUCAUAGGAGUUUAGGGCAAUUUCAGGGGUAGUUUUAUGACCCUAGUGAUGGUGUGACCCUUCCUCUGUACCAUGAACCUUACAAACACACAUUUGAUAAGGCUUUCAUAGGAGUUUAGGGCAUUUCCAGGGGUAGUUUUAUGACCCUGGUGGUGGUAGUGUGACCCUUCCUCUGUACCGUGAUCCUAAGAAACAUAUUUGACAAGGCUUUCAUAGGAGUUUAGGGCAUUUCCAUGGGUAGUUUUAUGAGCCUGGUGGUAGUGUGACCCUUCCUCUGUACCGUGAUCCUAAGAAACAUAUUUGGCAAGGCUUUCAUAGGAGUUGUAGGGAGCAUUUCCAGGUAUAGUUUUAUGACCCUGGUGGUGGUAGUGUGACCCUUCCUCUGUACCGUGAUCCUAAGAAACAUAUUUGACAAGGCUUUCAUAGGAGUUUAGGGCAUUUCCAGGGGUAGUUUUAUGACCCUGGUGGUAUUCUCCAAACCAAGCAGCACUUCACACCAGGUCAAAUCUUCACGACAUCAGGUCAAGUCCGUCCGAGCAGCGACCUUUUGUGGGGCCGGCAGUUCAUGCUGCUGUUUAGGGUUAUCACAACAGCAGCAUGAACUGACGGCCAAAUGAGGGUGUCGCUAUGCUGCCCUGCC